rnacentral:tRNA from 1 species
GCUUUCGUAGUGUAAUGGUUAGCACACUCGGGAUGUAUUCAAGAGUUGCAGGUUCGACUCCCGGCGAGGGCA